rnacentral:rRNA from 1 species
UACGAAGGGGCUAGCGUUGCUCGGAAUGACUGGGCGUAAAGGGCGCGUAGGCGGUUCGUACAGUCAGGCGUGAAAUUCCCGGGCUUAACCUGGGACUGCGCCUGAUACUGUUUAGCUAGAGUACUGUAGAGGAAAGUGGAAUUUCCGGUGUAGCGGUGAAAUGCGUAGAUAUCGGAAGGAACACCAGUGGCGAAAGCGACUUUCUGGACAGAUACUGACACUGAGGCACGAAAGCGUGGGGAGCAAACAGG